rnacentral:hammerhead_ribozyme from 1 species
AUCCAAUUGACGAGUCCCAUAUAAGACGGAGCGCGCGUCCCGGAU